GGCGGGAUGGCGAGAGAGAGAGAAGGUGUCCAUUGGCCGGCCACUGUGGCUGUCGCAGGAGCCGUUUUCAGUGGGAUGGAGAAGGAUGCGGGCGGGGCAAGGAGGGCUAGCAUUUCACCACCAGAAGAUGGUCCAACCAAUAGUUUCUGGGACUUCACAAAAAGUAUCUCAUAAUUAUGAAGAUAGCUCUUUUCACUGUUGGUCUCUGCUGGGCAAGGUUGUUGUGUGACAUAUGAAGGCUCAGGAUUCAGGAAGCAGAGGUCACUGAAAGGUCGGCGGCAAGCCUCUCUGCUGACCUCGAAUUUAAUCCUCCCAACUGAACCUGUGACUCUGACCAAAGCCGGCUUCCCUCAGGUCUCCUCCAUGGUGGCUGCAGCUCUCCUCCCUCCCAGGCCUGUUUGGGCAUGCUUGACCUGUCAGAGGACUACACCUCAGCCGUCCUUCUGUAUCCAUGGUGACCAGUGAAGAAUAAGCUGCUUUGCAGUAAUUUGAACUAUAAUACAUUCGAAUGAUGCAUGCUUUAUUACUCAGGCGAUUGGCCCCAAAACUAUCAGAUCCCUGAAAUCUUGAAUUGUUAAAGAGGAAUUAACAUUUAUGUCUUUCUUUUUUCUUAUUUUAAUUUUCUUCUCUCUUUUUUUAAUCCAUUGUUAUGCCUUGGUAAAUUUGGUUGACUUUGUUUGAUUUCAGCAGCUGUAAACUUUAUCUUGAUAAUUAAAUAGGAAAAUAACUUCAGAAAUAUUUCCCCCCAAAAAAGAAACUACAAAAUAUAUUAAAUGUACCUAAGUAAGUGUAGAUAGUGCAAGGAAAAAUAUGACAAACACUGUAAACCUUUUUACAAAGUAAUGUUGCCCAAAAUGUUGGCCCUUUAAUACUGGUUCAUAUUAUCUUAGUGGUCUGUAUCCUCUCUCCCUGAAAAUAAGACCCAGCCG
ensembl:lncRNA